rnacentral:rRNA from 1 species
GGGAACGUACCUCUUGGUUCGGAACAACACAGGGAAACUUGUGCUAAUACCGGAUAAGCCCUUACGGGGAAAGAUUUAUCGCCGAGAGAUCGGCCCGCGUCUGAUUAGCUAGUUGGUAGGGUAAUGGCCUACCAAGGCGACGAUCAGUAGCUGGUCUGAGAGGAUGAUCAGCCACAUUGGGACUGAGACACGGCCCAAACUCCUACGGGAGGCAGCAGUGGGGAAUAUUGGACAAUGGGGGCAACCCUGAUCCAGCCAUGCCGCGUGAGUGAUGAAGGCCCUAGGGUUGUAAAGCUCUUUUGUGCGGGAAGAUAAUGACGGUACCGCAAGAAUAAGCCCCGGCUAACUUCGUGCCAGCAGCCGCGGUAAUACGAAGGGGGCUAGCGUUGCUCGGAAUCACUGGGCGUAAAGGGUGCGUAGGCGGGUUUUUAAGUCAGAGGUGAAAUCCUGGAGCUCAACUCCAGAACUGCCUUUGAUACUGGGAAUCUUGAGUAUGGAAGAGGUGAGUGGAACUGCGAGU